UACGUAGGUCCCAAGCGUUAUCCGGAAUUACUGGGUGUAAAGCGUCUGUAGGCGGGUUUGUAAGUUUCGCAUGAAAGACCAGGGCUCAACCCUGUGUUGGUGUGAAAAACUGCUAACCUAGAAUUAGGGAGAGGUAAACGGAAUGGUAAGAGUAGAGGUUCAAUUCGUAGAUACUUACCAGAACACCAAAAGCGAAGGCAGUUUACUGGAACUAUAUUGACGCUGAGGGACGAAAGCGUGGGGAGCGAAAAGGAUUAGAUACCCUUGUAGUCCACGCCCUAAACGAUGAUGAUUAAGUGUCGGAUUUUAUAUUCGGUGCUGUAGCUAACGCGUUAAAUCAUCCACCUGAGGAGUACGGCCGCAAGGUUAAA
rnacentral:rRNA from 1 species